AGAGUUUGAUCCUGGCUCAGGAUGAACGCUGACAGAAUGCUUAACACAUGCAAGUCUUUGGCGAAGCUGUGCUUGCACAGCCUAGCCAAGGCGGACGGGUGAGUAACGCGUAAGGGACUUGCCCUGCAGUCAGGGAUAACAGACGGAAACGACUGAUAAGACCUGGUAAAGUCAGGCGGACUCAUGUCCAGCCUGAUGAAAAGGAAUGCUGCAGGAGAGCCUUGCGUCCUAUUAGCUUGUUGGUGGGGUAACGGCCCACCAAGGCGAUGAUAGGUAGCCGGCCUGAGAGGGUGGACGGCCACAAGGGGACUGAGAUACGGCCCUUACUCCUACGGGAGGCAGCAGUGGGGAAUAUUGGACAAUGGGGGCAACCCUGAUCCAGCAAUUCUGUGUGCACGAUGAAGGUCUUCGGAUUGUAAAGUGCUUUCAGCAGGGAAGAAAAAAAUGACGGUACC
rnacentral:rRNA from 1 species